rnacentral:tRNA from 1 species
GCCUGGCUGGCUCAGUCAGUAGAGCAUGGGACUUUUAAUCUCAGGGUUGUGAGUUCAAGCCCCAUGUUGGAUG